GUGCGAAUUGCGGACACAUUGAGCACUAAAAUUUCGAACGCACAUUGCGCCAUCGGGUUCAUUCCCCUUGGCACGUCUGGCUGAGGGUCGAAAUCUAAAAUAUACUACUCUUAAUUAUAUAUAUAUCGGCUUAUAUAACAAUAACAUCUAUAACUCUGGCAAGUUAUGUAGCUAUAGAUGUGGCUAGUUUGUUGUUAUUAUUAGGCAGUUUGUAUAUAGUUAUAUAGUAGUGAUGUCAAUAGACUAUCUUGACGUAUGUAAGUACUGAUGCUGGUGACGGUGCUGUUAUGUCAACGAUACUCUAUUCAGUUUUGAAUGUAAAAAAAUCGCACAAGUUCGAUUUUGCAUAGGUUAGCACAAGCAACAACCACUGCCUUGGUAAAUUGCUUGAAAGCGAUUCUCUAGCAUACAGAUGUGUAGCAACUAUGCAAGGGUUAGCAAGCGCUUUCAUGCUAGUUAAGCUUUUUACUAUGGCCGCGAGCUAGUGUGUUUGGUUUGCUGAUGUAACUAUGUGGAUGUAGACGUGUAUGUAUGUGUGUGUGUGUGUGUGUAUGCAUGCACACGCACUACUACUACUACUACUACUACUACAAUGACCUCAGCUCAGUCGUGAUUACCCGCUGAAUUUAAGCAUAUAACUAAGCGGAGGAAAAGAAACUAACGAGGAUUCCUUUAGUAACGGCGAGUGAACAGGGAAGAGCCCAUCGCUGAAUCCCAUAAUCACUGAUUAUCGGGAACUGUAGCGUAUAGGUGUAACUAUUCGGUGGUUUUUGCUUACCCAAAGUUCCCUUGAGUGGGGCUAUAGUCCAUAGAGGGUGCUAGGCCUGUACGGGUAGCGAAAUUACUGAUAUCGGUUGCUCCUUGGAGUCGAGUUGCCUGGGAACGCAGCUCAAAGUAGGUGGUAAACCUCAUCUAAGGCUAAAUAUGACUACGAGACCGAUAGCGAACAAGUACCGUGA
rnacentral:rRNA from 1 species